rnacentral:rRNA from 1 species
CGGUCAAAUCACGCUGAAAACACCGGUUCUCGUUCGAUCACCGAAGUUAAGCAUCGUAGAAACCAGGUCAGUACUUAGAUGGGGGACCGCUUGGGAACACCUGGUACUGUAAG